UAAGCGGAAUUCNUAGUGUAGCGGUGAAAUGCGUAGAUAUUAGGAGGAACACCGGAGGCGAAGGCGGCUUACUGGACGACAACUGACGUUGAGGCUCGAAGGCGUGGGGAGCAAACAGGAUUAGAUACCCUGGUAGUCCACGCAGUAAACGAUGAAUACUUGGUGUCGGGGAGAUAAACUCUUCGGUGCCGCAAGCAAACGCAUUAAGUAUUCCACCUGGGGAGUACGUUCGCAAGAAUGAAACACAAAGGAAUUGACGGGGACCCGCACAAGCGGUGGAGCAUGUGGUUUAAUUCGAAGCAACGCGAAGAACCUUACCAAAUCUUGACAUACUCUUGAAUAAUUUUGUAAUGAGAUUAGUUUUUCGGGACAAGGGAUACAGGUGGUGCAUGGUUGUCGUCAGCUCGUGUCGUGAGAUGUUGGGUUAAGUCCCGCAACGAGCGCAACCCUUUUCGUCAGUAGCCAGCAGUAAGAUGGGCACUCUGACGAGACAGCCGGAGAUAAUCCGGAGGAAGGUGGGGAUGACGUCAAAUCAUCAUGCCCCUUAUGAUUUGGGCUACACACGUGCUACAAUGGCGUAAACAAAGUGAAGCAAGACCGCGAGGUUAAGCAAAUCACAGAAAUAACGUCUCAGUUCGGAUUGUAGUCUGCAACUCGACUAUAUGAAGCCGGAAUCGCUAGUAAUCGCAGAUCAGAAUGCUGCGGUGAAUACGUUCCCGGGUCUUGUACACACCGCCCGUCACACCAUGGGAGUCAUCAAUGCCCGAAGUCAGUGACCUAACCGU
rnacentral:rRNA from 1 species